CUCUGGCCCGAUCGAAGCUGAGCAAAGCUUGUGUCUUGCAUCAGUCAAAGCGCGGCCUACAGUAGUCUUGACAUUAUGGUCGCAUGGUGUGUUAUCGAUACGUAAUCGUGCAUUACCCAUGUCAAGAACAAAG